GAUGAACGCUGGCGGCGUGCCUAAUACAUGCAAGUCGAGCGAAAAGACGAUGAGCUUGUUCCUCUGACGUUAGCGGCGGACGGGUGAGUAACACGUGGAUCACCUACUUAUAAUACUGGGAUAACUUCGGGAAACCGGAGAUAAUACCGGAUAAUAUAUUGAACCGCAUGGUUCAAUAGUGAAAGACGGCUUUGCGGUCACUUAUAGCGGGUUCCGCGCCGGAUUAGCUAGUUGGUAAGGUAACGGCCUACCAAGGCAACGAUGCGUAGCCGACCUGAGAGGGUGAUAGGCCACACUGGAACUGAGACACGGUCCAGACUCCUACGGGAGGCAGCAGUAGGGAAUCUUCGGCAAUGGGCGAAAGCCUGACGGAGCAACGCCGCGUGAGUGAUGAAGGCCUUCGGAUCGUAAAGCUCUGUUAUUAGGGAAGAACAGAUGUGGAAGUAAAUAUGGACGUCUUGACGGUACCUAAUCAAAAAGCAACGGCUAACUACGUG
rnacentral:rRNA from 1 species